rnacentral:misc_RNA from 1 species
UCUAAUUCGAUGACGGGAAAGAGUAAUUAUCUCCUUCUUAUCUACAGAGAGUUGACCCUGUGCUGAAAGUCAACGUUAAGAAAGCUAAUGAAAAUCCUCCCUGAGAAGCAAAGUUGAAGAGAAAAGUGGAAAGUGCCCGUUUAAAAACAUAGAGAUUG